UCGUCGCUGGUGCUGGGCGCUCGCGUGCGUGCUGAUCGCGGAUCCGUGGGCGGUGACGUCGCCCGGCUUCUGGCUGUCGUUCGGCGCGGUGGCGGCGAU
rnacentral:tRNA from 1 species